UUAAAGGCAGGGAAACUGUCAUUGCGCAGUUUAGUCAGUUUAGUUAAAAUCAGGGGAUUCACCGCCUUUUUGCAGUUUCUGAUGCAAUCGAUGCAAUAUCAAUAUAAAUGCACCUCAACGCCACUUUAAUCUCAGUUAUCAUAGUGCAGUGACGGUGAUUAAAACUUUAAAAUAUAACAAUUAAAACCCUCUACAAAGUGUCAAAAAUGGAUAACUACAUUCAAAUUGGCUUUCUGGCACUGACAAUCUACUGCCUUUAUACAUCACAAUUUCUUUUAUUUUUCUUGCUGAUUGUUUUCAUGGCUUAUGUGAAACUCACGCAGAUCACCGAUCGCACACGCAGAGCAUCAUCUGAAUUAAUAUGGCUGGCAAUUCUGCUUCCCCUUAUUGGCGCAGGAGCAGCAUUUUACUGGCUACUGGAAGUAUCCUUAUCGAUCACCUUAAUUAUUAUGCUACUUGCAUUCUUCUAUAUCAACGAACAGCAAUCAAGAGGUUCAAGAUCUCCAAGAUCACGUACAGAUAUCAGAAAUUCUUUUUGGGACAAACUCACCGAUGUUGCCUUUGGAAUGGUGCUACUAGUAUUCAUAUACAUAAUAUUUGGUUCCAACAGUGAAAUAACUCAAGAAUUUGUCAAUGGACCCAGCGAAGAGAUAUAGGUACCUACCUACUAACUCUUUAAAAAAGUGAAACGUGCCAUGUCUUAUCAGCAUAAAACUAAUCGAAAAAUUAUCAAUAAAAUGCAUUUGAUUCUACAAGCUCUUAUCUGCAAGUAUUUGAGUGAUGUAAUGAAAACUUGAGUUAUCAAAAAAUCAACAAAACAACAAAUAAAAACGAAAAGUACCUGUUACUUAUACAUAUGUACAUGAAGAACCUAAAAGUUUACUACAAAAAUGUACUAAAUAUGAAAAUGGAGAAUCGUAAAUAUUUUAAGGAGUUUCUUUUAAAUCUGAUUUUCAGUCAGAUGCUUUAUUACAACAGUGGGUCCUGAGGAAGGACCUAAAUAGUCCGAAACGUCGGCUUUUAAUAAAAUGUAAUUAAAUCAAAUACAAGAGUUCUUCAUAAAAACAAAAAAUAGUUUUAAGUUCAUUUCAAUAUUUUAAUUAGGAAUAUGAAAUACAUAUUGUGAUCAUGUUCAGAACUCAAUCGAUUAAAAUUUUGAGUGAUCUAUACCAAAAAAUUGUAAAAAUGUAUGUAUACAUUUGAAUAAUAUAUUUUUGUGAUCGAAAUGGUUAAAAA